rnacentral:rRNA from 1 species
AUUGAACGCUGGCGGCAGGCCUAACACAUGCAAGUCGAACGAGCGGCGGACGGGUGAGUAAUGCCUGGGAAACUGCCCGAUGGAGGGGGAUAACCACAGGAAACGGUAGCUAAUACCGCAUACCAUCGGAUGUGCCCAGAUGGGAUUAGCUUGUAGGUGAGGUAACGGCUAACCUAGGCGACGAUCCCUAGCUGGUCUGAGAGGAUGACCAGCCACAAUGGAACUGGGACACGGUCCAGACUCCUACGGGAGGCAGCAGUGGGGAAUGUUGCACAAUGGGCGAAAGCCUGAUGCAACCAUGCCGCGUGUAUGAAGAAGGCCUUCGGGUUGUAAAGUACUUUCAGCGGGGAGGCGUUACCCGCAGAGAAAGCACCGGCUAACUACGUGCCAGCAGCCGCGGUAAUAC